GGGAGUUAAUCAUGUUCCUAAAAUUUAAAUAUAUAUGAUAUAUUAAUUUUGGAAAUGAAAAGAAUACUUCUCCAUUAAAGUUAUGACUUUAAUACAUUAUAUGAAGAUAGAAUGUAUAUGGAAGUUAAUCAUGUUCCUAAAAUUUAAAUAUAUAUAUAUGAUAUAUUAAUUUUGGAAAUGAAAAGAAUACUUCUUCGUUAAAGUUAUGACUUUAAAACAUUAU
rnacentral:lncRNA from 1 species